rnacentral:rRNA from 1 species
AAUGAACGCUGGCGGCGUGCCUAACACAUGCAAGUCGGAUGUGCCGCAAGGUGCAUGGCAGACGGGUGAGUAACGCGUGGGGAACCUACCUCUUCGUGGGGAAUAACGAUCCGAAAGGAUUGGUAAUACCGCAUGAGACCGACGGCUGGGAUGCUGUCGGUGAAAGCUGGGGACCGGAAACGGCCUGGCGCGAGGAGAGGGUCCUGCGUCUGAUUAGCUAGUUGGUGGGUAACGGCCUACCAAGGCAUCGAUCAGUAGCCGGCCUGAGAGGGUGAUCGGCCACACUGGAACUGAGACACGGUCCAGACUCCUACGGGAGGCAGCAGUGGGGAAUUUUGCGCAAUGGACGAAAGUCUGACGUAGCGACACCGCGUGAGCGAAGAAGCCCCUUGGGGUGUAAAGCUCUGUCAGCUGGAACGAAAAAAUGACGGUACCAGCAGAGGAAGCAUCGGCUAACUACGUGCCAGCAGCCGCGGUAAU